GGAAACUGACAUGUUCCAGUUAACUAUAUUACCUGAGAGGCUGUUGCACUGUCAUCUUCAGAAAAGCAGGAACUAUUUUUUUUUUUAAAGUUUACUCCACAAUGCAUACAAUGUAGUUACUAUCACCAAUCCUCACCAAAGCCCUGCAAAGUCAAAGUACAAUUCUACAUAUAUUUCACAGAUGAGGACAUUGAAAACAAGAGAGUUUGCAUAACUAAUUCAGUCUCAUGGCAUGAAUGUAACAAAGGUAGCAUAUGAACUUCAGUGUCUUCUAACAGCGUGCAUAUGUUAUUUCCCUUCUUGAGUGUAAUCAAAAAUUCGAACACAAAAUUCUGUGGAUGUGUGGAAGAAGACUGAAUUCCAAAUGGAGGAAUUGUAAAAAGCUUCAUGGAGGUGCACAUACAACAAAGAUUUGAAGGACAAAGACAGGUCUUAAAGUGGGAGGAAGAGAAAGACAAGUAUCAGCAGAGAAACGGAGUGUGGCCAGGCACAUGACAUGAAAUAACACAGAAAAGGGUCCGAGGGCCCAUGUAGCUAAACGUGUAGAGUGGAAUGUGAUGCUGAAAUAUUAGGCUAGAGACAAGUGAGUGAAGGCUUUGAAUGUCAAGUUAAGAAACUUAAACUUCUAUUCUGUAGGCAAUAAAAGCCAACGAACAUAUAUGGGUUGUAUUUGUCAUUCAUUUAGUCAAUGUAUAUUUACUGAUCAGCUACUAUGUUUAUUAUGUUCAGGCUUUUUGGAAGGCUCAGGGUAUACUAUGGUUAAAAUCAAAGAAGACAAAACCAAGACAGUGGUUCUUAAGUCUAGAAGCAGAGAUAAAUAGCGAGGUAGUAAAACAAACCAAAAAAACCACACACACAUAUUGCACUUAAUAUCGUACUAUGAAGAAAAUGCACAGAGUCUGUACCUGCGGAUAAUGCAGGCAUGGGAAGGCCUCUCUGAGGAAGAGAUAUGAACUGGGAGUGAACAGUGACUGCAGCAGUACCUAUGAAGAGGGAAGGGUGUCUGGGAAGGGUCCUCAGCUGAGAGACAGAAACUGGAAGAGGGCUGGCGGAGGGUGAUGGGCAAGGGCUAGAUCACCAAGACCUCUGGGCCACCUUAAGGAGUCUGGACUUUCUUGGUGAAUGGGAAGCUACUGAAGAGUUUGAAGCAGGAAAGUGACACCGUCUUAUUUUUAUUUCCAAAGGUCACUGCUGCACUAAAAGAGAAGGCAAGAGUGGAAGCAGGCAGAGUAGCCAGGGAUGACUGCAAUGGUCCAGGAGAGGACAAGGGAGACCCCGGCUGUUCAGAGGCAGUAGAGAUGGGAAGACGUAUUUGUGGGAAGAGCCAACAGGACCUGCUGCCAGGUCCAAGUCCUCUUCGCCUCCCAGAGCAGCUUCGGUGGAGACAAGUCUCACACAUCCUCUCGUCUGGCCUGUGGCCUCCCUUCCCUGUCCUGCUCCUCCCCUUAUGGACUCAUCUCUGAAGCCUUCUUCAUGCUUCUCACUCCCUGCGGCUCUUCUAGAACCCUCAGCAAGCUCAGCUGGCCUGACUGCACUAAAAGUGUCGGACAAGUGCAUGACUAAACAGAUGAAUCCUUCUCUGAAGUGCAGUGUGAAGGCUGCCGAUGUCAUUGCAGAGUCCUUUCCCAUUGCAGGCAAGUCCAGAGGCACCCCCUAGGUAAGAAGACCUGUAAAAGAGAGGAGAGGGAGAGAGGAAAGGGAGAUGGAGAAGGAGAGAAAGCGAAAAAGAGAGAGAUGGAUUAGAGAGUCAGGGAUAGACAGCAGGAGAGAGGAAGAGACAAAGAGGCCGCAGAGGCAGAGACCAGAAGCGAGAGAGAUGCAAACCAACAGAAAAAUACGGAGAAACUGGUCAGGAUGAAGCAAGAAGAUGAGGAGAGAAGGAUAAUCAGAGAGGCUGAGAGAGACUCAGGCUUGAAAACUGAGAAGAAAUGGGGUGGGGGCAGAGAGAGAGAAAAACAGAGCAAAUGAAAGAAAAGGAAAGAAUCAAACUGAAAGAGGCGUGAGAGAGAUACAAAUGUAGGCAAUAGGAGAAAGGAGGGAGAAGGGAAAGAAAGGCAAAAGAUGAGAUAGAAAGAGACAAAAGGAAGAAGUGCAGAGAAGCACAGCUGCAGAGGACAGACUGUAAAUGCGAUGUGUAAGACUGAAAUAGCGACAGGAACAGUGAGAGACUGAGAAGGACCGAGAGAAGAAGGUGGAGAGACACAGACAGGGACGGGAAGUGAGGCCUCUUUUUUGAUGGGCGAAAUGCAAUUCCACAGAGUAGGUAUUUCCUGAGAGGCUCACUUCACGGAGGAGGCUGGAGAUGAAUGCUUACACGGAAAUUGUGGGAAGAGUGUCCAAUUCAUCACAGAAUGAAUUCAAGUUUGGGGUAACUAUAAGGCUCGAAAUUAGUUUUCCAUUGCCACUGUAACAAAUCACCACACACUUAGUGGCUUAAAACAACAGACAUUUAUUCUCUCAAUUCUGGAGGCCAGAAGUCAGAAAUCAGUUUCACUGGGGCCAAACUCUAGGUGUCACAGGCCUGCAUUCCCUCCACAAGCUCUGGGGAGAAAACAGAGAAAUAGUUGGUUUCUGGUGGUUGCUGGCUUUCCUUGCUUGUGAUCACAUCAUUUCAUCUCUGCCCCCAUGGUCACAUUGCCUCCUCUCUCUUCAGUGUAUGUCAGAUCUUCCUCUGCUUCUCUCUUCUAGGGGUACAUGUGAUCGUAUUUAGGACCUGCUCAGAUGAUCAGGAUAGUCUCAACCUUCCAUCUGAAGAGUCUCAACCAUAACAUUUACAAAGACCUUGUUUCCAUAUAAGGUAUUAUUGAUAGGUUCUAGGGAUCAGGAACUGAAUGUCUUUGGGGUCAUUAUUCAGCCCAUUCUACACUGCCUGAGAGUUCAUCGGCUUAGCUAAGAGCUGGCAUAUGAAGUGUCCUGGCAUACCCAGGACGAAGGUGCUGGGUGUCAGGGGUGGAAUUCUGGCUCUGUGUGAGACACCUUGCUGGGUGCCCCACCAACUCCACCCCACCUGACCUACACAAGCAUCAAGUGGAUUUACCAGGACUCAGACCCAGAUAUGUCUAAUUUCAGAGUGCUUUUUGCUGGCAUUAUUUGCUGCCUCUCAAGGGCAAUGUUGCCUACUUUACCUCUUAAACAUAGUAAAUCUGCUGCUCCCCUUCCUCCACUGCUAUUGCAUUGUUCGGAUCCUUGUCUCUUAUCUGAACUAUUGCUUCAGCGUCCUAAUUGGUCUUCUGGCUUCUGGUUUCUCUCCAUUAUUGCUGAGAAUGAUGUUCUCACAGUUGCUGACCUUGUCACUUCCUGACCUAUAACCCUACACUGUCACCUCCAAGGUAAGAUCUAAACUCUUAGAUCUGGCUUUCAUGACCUUCCAUAAGCUCCUCUAAGCCUUAUCUCCUGACACUGUAUUCCAUUGUGCGUGUAUUUAGAAGGCCAGGUUUAAAGUCCACAAAGCGUGGGUUUUAAUCCUGGCUCCUACAUGUUUAGCUGUGUGAACCUGGGCAGGCUAUUUACUGUCUCUGAGCCUUAGUUUCCUCAUCUCCACAAUAGAUAAUGCUUCCUACCUCAGGAUUAUUGUGUUGAUUAAAAAUUAUAUAUCCAAGGUACCCAGUACAAUGCUGGUAUGCAGUAGCUUUUUUAUUAUCAUUACUACAUAUGAAACUGUCAUCUCCAACAAGGUAUGAGCUCUUUAAGGACAAGAAUGUGUCACGUUCACAUUUGUUUCCAGAGUUAUUUAGCACGUUAGGCCUAUGAACAAAGAUAGGGAGAAAAAGUAAGACUAAAACAAAUCAAGAUGAGAGAGAGAUAAAGAAAAGGACAGAGAGACAGAGGCAGGGAGAGAUGAAGAAACUAUUUGUAAAAUUCUGUGUUUUCUGGAUGUUCGGUAUAACGCCUUGUAGGUUUCUUCCACGCUGUGUGCCUCGGUUUCCUCUCCUGUAAAUUUGGCGGGCAGUUGAACUCGAUGAUCUCUAGUUCUAAUUCUCACUCUCUGCUCUAGCCUGGGAAAAGUGUUUCCCUGGAGCAGGGGAUACCCUUUCUGACCAAGCCGAUGAGAGGCAGCUUCAUCAGGUGUCCAGUGCUGCCCACCACCCUAAUGGGGUCUUUUGAGGAGAAGCCAGGUUAGAGGCUGGUGGGCUAGAACAGAUGGAGAGCUGACCUCAGUUAUAAUGUGCCUGAUUCUGGAUGGGAUAACCUUGGCGAGUAUUUGGACUUUAGACCACAUUAGGCAGGUUGCUCUUAUUCAUUCACUCAUUCAUUCAUUUUUUAUUUAUUUUUCAUUCAUUCAUUUAUUUUUGAGACGGAGUC